rnacentral:rRNA from 2 species
GCAAAGACAACCAGGAUGUUGGCUUAGAAGCAGCCACUCAUUAAAAGAGUGCGUAAUAGCUCACUGGUCGAGUGACCCUGCGCCGAAAAUUCAACGGGGCUAAAUCAUAUACCGAAGCUUGGGAUUCCGAAAGGGAUGGUAGGAGAGCGUUGUGUAAGGGGUGAAGUCAUAGCGGAAGCGGUGGUGGACUUUACACAAGCGAGAAUGCCGGAAUGAGUAGCGCGAAAUGUGUGAGAAUCAUAUUGGCCGAAAGUCUAAGGAUUUUGGAGGAAGGUUCGUCCGCUCCAAGUAAGCCGGGAGCUAAGGCGAGGCCGAAAGGCGUAGUCGAUGCACAUACGGUGGAAAUUCCGUAGCCGCCGAAAGAUUUAAGU